GACGAACGUUGGCGGCGUGCUUAAUACAUGCAGGUCAACUGAAGCAGUGGUAGCAAUAUCGCUGUGGAGGUGGCGCACGGGUGAGUAACACGUAGGUAAUCUGCCUUCAGGUCUGGCAUAACUCCGGGAAACCGGGGCUAAUAGCAGAUGAUGCAGCGGCUCGACAUCGAGACAGUUGUUAAAGCUAUGGCGCCUGAAGAUGAGCCUGCGUCUGAUUAGCUAGUUGGCGGGGUAACGGCCCACCAAGGCAACGAUCAGUAGCUGGUCUGAGAGGAUGAUCAGCCACACUGGAACGGAGACACGGUCCAGACUCCUACGGGAGGCAGCAGUAAGGAAUAUUGCUCAAUGGGAGAAAUCCUGGAGCAGCAACGCCGCGUGAGGGACGAAGGGCUUUUGCUUGUAAACCUCUGUAGUGAGAGAAAAAAAUCCCAAUCUUUGGGACAUGAUGGUAUCUCAAAAGUAAGCCCCGGCUAACUACGUG
rnacentral:rRNA from 1 species